AUUGAACGCUGGCGGCAUGCUUUACACAUGCAAGUCGAACGGCAGCACGGACUUCGGUCUGGUGGCGAGUGGCGAACGGGUGAGUAAUACAUCGGAACGUGCCCAGUUGUGGGGGAUAACUACUCGAAAGAGUAGCUAAUACCGCAUGAGAACUGAGGUUGAAAGCAGGGGAUCGUAAGACCUUGCGCAACUGGAGCGGCCGAUGGCAGAUUAGGUAGUUGGUGGGAUAAAAGCUUACCAAGCCGACGAUCUGUAGCUGGUCUGAGAGGACGACCAGCCACACUGGGACUGGGACACGGCCCAGACUCCUACGGGAGGCAGCAGUGGGGAAUUUUGGACAAUGGGCGCAAGCCUGAUCCAGCCAUGCCGCGUGCAGGAUGAAGGCCUUCGGGUUGUAAACUGCUUUUGUACGGAACGGAAAGGCUCUGGUUAACACCUGGGGUCCAUGACGGUACCGUAAGAAUAAGCACCGGCUAACUACGUGCCAGCCGCCGCCGUAAGAC
rnacentral:rRNA from 1 species